rnacentral:rRNA from 1 species
GACGAACGCUGGCGGCGUGCUUAACACAUGCAAGUCGAACGGAAAGGCCCUGCUUUUGUGGGGUGCUCGAGUGGCGAACGGGUGAGUAACACGUGAGUAACCUGCCCUUGACUUUGGGAUAACUUCAGGAAACUGGGGCUAAUACCGGAUAGGAGCUCCUGCUGCAUGGUGGGGGUUGGAAAGUUUCGGCGGUUGGGGAUGGACUCGCGGCUUAUCAGCUUGUUGGUGGGGUAGUGGCUUACCAAGGCUUUGACGGGUAGCCGGCCUGAGAGGGGGACCGGCCACAUUGGGACUGAGAUACGGACCAGACUCCUACGGGAGGCAGCAGUGGGGAAUCUUGCACAAUGGGCGGAAGCCUGAUGCAGCAACGCCGCGUGCGGGAUGACGGCCUUCGGGUUGUAAACCGCUUUCGCCUGUGACGAAGCGUGAGUGACGGUAAUGGGUAAAGAAGCACCGGCUAACUACGUG